UCCGAGGGGCGCCGGCGUCACCGGCUGAGACCGUGUUUUUCCCGAGAGUACCGGAAACUUCACACGGGCACCCUUUGAACCUGAUCGGUUAACACCGGCGUAGGGACGGA
rnacentral:ncRNA from 1 species